rnacentral:lncRNA from 1 species
UCAGUAACAAGACCUCGACCAGGACACAAACUCAACACUACAGACUCUGAAACUGAAAUAUGCAAAGGCUAUGGCGCGGAUGGGUUGUAGGACAUGAAAACAAUAUGGCACUAGACUUAUGGGACGAACACAAGGACACUUCAAACUAAGGGUAGAUGUGAACCUAAGGGUAUGUCUGAAGCUUUGAUUACCACUUGAGGAGAACAAGUGUGGCCCGAUCUUCCGAAAGUUUCUAGUAACUAUCGAUUUGGUGGAAACGAGAGAUAUAUCAAUCCAGCUUGCGAACAACACAAUUCGAAACCCUGCAAUUCUUUUUAUUUUUAUUUUGAUAUUUUUCUUUUACUUAGGAGCACUCAAGAAGUAACCACAGGAAAUUUGAGCUUAAACAAGUGAAAGACGUGUCCUGUGGAAUUUUUGAAGAUUGUGAAAAAUAUGAAAAAAAUCUUUAGGAGGUGAAAACUCAAACUUCAUAGGCGAAUUUGGAGAUUCUAAAAUUGUCGAACCCACCGUUGGCGGGGAUAGACAGAUCCAAAAAUUGUUUCUGAACAAUUCGAUUUUGAUAUAUAGAACGUCAAAAUUGGAGUUCGUAUGCGAAAGUUAUGGCUGUUUUACGAAUGGACUCUGAAUUAGAGGACAAAACGGUCCGGAAGUGGGAAACAAUUGCGGUGGUGGCUAGAAAUUGAUGGAAACAGUGAGAAAAAACACACAAACUGGACUGUAACAAGGCCUAACCAGUAACAAGACCUCGACCAGGACACAAACUCAACACUACGGGCUCUGAAACUGAAAUAUGCAAAGGCUAUGGCGCGGAUGGGUUGUAGGACAUGAAAACAAUAUGGCACUAGACUUAUGGGACGAACACAAGGACACUUGAAACUAAGGGUAGAUGUGAACCUAACGGUAUGUCUGAAGCUUUGAUUACCACUUGAGGAGAACAAGUGUGGCCCGAUCUUCCGAAAGUUUCUCGUAACUAUCGAUUUGUUGGAAACGAGAGACAUAUCAAUCCAGCUUGCUAACAACACAAUUCGAAACCCUACAAUUCUUUUUUUUUGAUAUUUUUCUUUUACUUAGGAGCACUCAAGAAGUAACCACAGGAAUUUUGAGCUUAAACAAGUGAAAGACGUGGCCAGUGGAUUUUUUUUGAAGAUUGUGAAAAAUAUGAAAAAAACUUUAGGAGGUGAAAACUCAAACUUCAGAGGCAAAUUUGGGGAUUCUAAAAUUGUCGAACCUGUGGUUGGCCAUGAUAGACAUAUCCAAAAAAAUUUUCUGAUCGAUUCUGAUAUAUGGAACGUCAAAAUUGGAGUUCGUAUGCGAAAGUUAUGGCUGUUUUACGAACGGACUCCGAAUUAGAGGACAAAACGGUCCGGAACUGGGAAAAAUUUACGGCGGUGGCUAGAAAUUAAAGGAAACAGUGGGAAAAAACAAACAAACUGGACUGUAACAAGACCUAACCAGUAACAAGACCUUGACCAGGACACAAACUCAACACUACAGACUCUGAAACUGAAAUAUGCAAAGGCUAUGGCGCGGAUGGGUUGUAGGACAUGAAAACAAUAUGGCACUAGACUUAUGGGACGAACACAAGGACACUUCAAACUAAGGGUAGAUGUGAAUCUAAGGGUAUGUCUGAAGCUUUGAUUACCACUUGAGGAGAACAAGUGUGGCCCGAUCUUCUAAAAGUUUCUGGUAACUAUCGAUUUGGUGGAAACGAGAGACAUAUCAAUCCAGCUUGCGAACAACACAAUUCGAAACCCUGCAAUUCUUUUUAUUUUUAUUUGAGCUUAAACAAGUGAAAGACGUGUCCGGUGGAAUUUUUUGAAGAUUGUGAAAAAUAUGAAAAAAAUCUUUAGGAGGUGAAAACUCAAACUUCAUAGGCGAAUUUCGAGAUUCUAAAAUUGUCGAACCCGCAGUUGGCGGGGAUAGACAGAUCCAAAAAUUGUUUGUGUUCGAUUCGAUUUUGAUAUAUAGAACGUCAAAAUUGGAGUUCGUAUGCGAAAGUUAUGGCUGUUUUACGAACGCACUCUGAAUUAGAGGACAAAACGGUCCGGAAGUGGGAAACAAUUGCGGUGGUGGCUAGAAAUUGAUGGAAACAGUGGGAAAAACACACAAACUGGACUGUAACAAGACCUAACCAGUAACAAGACCUCGACCUGGACACAAACUCAACACUACGGACUCUGAAACUGAAAUAUGCAAAGGCUAUGGCGCGGAUGGGUUGUAGGACAUGAAAACAAUAUGGCACUAGACUUAUGGGACGAACACAAGGACACUUGAAACUAAGGGUAGAUGUGAACCUAACGGUAUGUCUGAAGCUUUGAUUACCACUUGAGGAGAACAAGUGUGGCCCGAUCUUCCGAAAGCUUCUCGUAACUAUCGAUUUGGUGGAAACGAGAGACAUAUCAAUCCAGCUUGCUAACAACACAAUUCGAAACCCUGCAAUUCUUUUUUUGAUAAUUUUCUUUUACUUAGGAGCACUCAAGAAGUUACCACAGGAAUUUUGAGCUUAAACAAGUGAAAGACGUGGCCAGUGGAUUUUUUUGAAGAUUGUGAAAAAUAUGAAAAAAAACUUUAGGAGGUGAAAACUCAAACUUCAGAGGCAAAUUUGGGGAUUCUAAAAUUGUCGAACCCGCCGCUGGCGGGGAUAGACAGAUCCAAAAAAUUUUUCUGAUCGAUUCUGAUAUAUGGAACGUCAAAAUUGGAGUUCGUAUGCGAAAGUUAUGGCUGUUUUACGAACGGACUCCGAAUUAGAGGAUAAAACGGUCCGGAAGUGGGAAAAAUUUGCGGUGGUGGCUAGAAAUUGAUGGAAACAGUGGGAAAAAACACACAAACUGGACUAUAACAAGACCUAACCAGUAACAAGACCUCGACCAGGACACAAACUCAACACUACGGAUUCUGAAACUGAAGUAUGCAAAGGCUAUGGCGCGGAUGGGUUGUAGGACAUGAAAAGAAUAUGGCACUAGACUUAUGGAACGAACACAAGGACACUUGAAGCUAAGGGUAGAUGUGAACCUAACGGUAUGUCUGAAGCUUUGAUUACCACUUAAGGAGAACAAGUUUGGCCCGAUCUUCCGAAAGUUUCUCGUAACUUUGGAUUUGGUGGAAACGAGAGACAUAUCAAUCCAGCUUGCGAACAACACAAUUUGAAACCCUGCAAUUCUUUUUUUGAUAUUUUUCUUUUACUUAGGAGCACUCAAGAACUAACCAUAGGAAAUUUGAGCUUAAACAAGUGAAAGACGUGGCCUGUGGAAUUUUUUGAAGAUUGUGAAAAAUAUGAAAAAAAAUCUUUAGGAGGUGAAAGCUCAAACUUUAGAGGCGAAUUUGGGGAUUCUAAAAUUGUCGAACCCGCCAGAGGUAGGGAUAGACAGAUCCAAAAUUUUUUUCUGAACGAUUUUGAUAUAUGGAACAUCAAAAUUAGAGUUCGUAUGCGAAAGUUAUGGCUGUUUUACGAACGGACUCCGAAUUAGAGGACAAAACGGUCCGGAGGUGGGAAAAAUUUACGGUGGUGGCUAGAAAUUGAUGGAAACAGUAGGAAAAAACACACAAACUAGACUGUAACAAGACCUAACCAGUAACAAGACCUAGACCAGGACACAAACUCAACACUACGGACUCUGAAACUGAAAUAUGCAAAGGCUAUGGCGCGGAUGGGUUGUAGGACAUGAAAACAAUAUGGCACUAGACUUAUGGGACGAACACAAGGACACUUGAAACUAUGGGUACAUAUGAACCUAACGGUAUGUCUGAAGCUUUGAUUACCACUUGAGGAGAACAAGUGUGGCCCAUCUUCCGAAAGUUUCUCGUAACUAUCGAUUUGGUGGAAACGAGAGACAUAUCAAUCCAGCUUGCGAACAACACAAUUCGAAACCCUACAAUUCUUUUUUUUUGCUAUUUUUAUUUUACUUAGGAGCACUCAAGAAGUAACCAUAGGAAAUUUGAGCUUAAACAACUGAAAGACGUGGCCUGUGGAAUUUUUUGAAGAUUGUGAAAAAUAUGAAAAAAAACUUUAGGAGGUGAAAACUCAAACUUCAGAGGCGAAUUUGGGGAUUCUAAAAUUGUCGAACCCGCCUUUGGCGGCGGGGAUAGACUGAUCCAAAAAAAAUUCUAAUGGAUUUUGAUAUAUGGAACGUCAAAAUUGGAGUUCGUAUGCGAAAGUUAUGGCUAUUUUACGAACGGACUCCGAAUUAGAGGACAAAACGGACCGGAAGUGGGAAAAAUUUGCGGUGGUGGCUAGAAAUUGCUGGAAACAGUGGGAAAAAACACACAAACUGGACUCUAACAAGGCCUAACCAGCAACAAGGCCUCGACCAGGACACAAACUCAACACUACGGACUCUGAAACUGAAAUAUGCAAAGGCUAUGGCGCGGAUGGGUUGUAGGACAUGAAAACAAUAUGGCACUAGACUUAUGAGACGAACACAAGGACACUUGAAACUAAGGGUAGAUAUGAACCUAACGGUAUGUCUGAAGCUUUGAUUACCACUUGAGGAGAACAAGUGUGGCCCGAUAUUCCGGAAGUUUCUCGUAACUAUCGAUUUGGUGGAAACGAGAGACAUAUCAAUCCAGCUUGCGAACAACACAAUUCGAAACCCUGCAAUUCUUUUUAUUUUUUUUUAUAUUUUUCUUUUACUUAGGAUCACUCAGGAAGUAACCACAGGAAAUUUUGAGCUUAAACAAGUGAAAGACGUGGCCUGUGGAAUUUUUUGAAGAUUGUCAAAAAUAUGAAAAAAAACUUUAGGAGGUGAAAACUCAAACUUCAGAGGCGAAUUUGGAGAUUCUAAAAUUGUCGAACCUGCCAAAGGCAGGGAUAGACAGAUCCAAAUUUUUGUUUUGAACCAUUUUGAUAUAUGGAACGUCAAAAUUAGAGUUCGUAUGCGAAAGUUAUGGCUCUUUUACCAACGGACUCCGAAUUAGAGGACAAAACGGUCCGGAAGUGGGAAAAAUUUGCGGUAGUGGCUAGAAAUUGAUGGAAACAGUGGAAAAAACACACAAACUGGACUCGUAACGAGAGACAUAUCAAUCCAGCUUGCGAACAAGACAAUUCGAAACCCUGCAAUUCUUUUUAUUUUUAUUUUUUGAUAUUUUUCUUUUACUUAGGAGCACCCAAGAAGUAACCACAGGAAAUUUGAGCUUAAACAAGUGAAAGACGUGGCCUGUGGAAUUUUUUGAAGAUUGUGAAAAAUAUGAAAAAAAUUUAGGAGGUGAAAACUCAAACUUCAGAGGCAAAUUUGGAGAUUCUAAAAUUGUCGAACCCGCCAAAGGCGGGGAUAGACAAAUCCAAAAUUUUUUUCUGAUCGAUUUUGAUAUAUGGAACGUCAAAAUUAGAGUUCGUAUACGAAAGUAAUGGCUGUUUUACGAACGAACUCCGAAUUAGAGCACAAAACGGUCCGGAAGUGGAAAAAAUUUGCGGUGGUGGCUAGAAAUUGAUGGAAAUAGUGGGAAAAAACACAUAAACUGGAGUGUAACAAGAUCUAACUAGUAACAAGACCUCGACCAGGACACAAACUCAACACUACAGACUCUGAAACUGAAAUAUGCAAAGGCUAUGGCGCGGAUGGGUUGUAGGACAUGAAAACAAUAUGGCACUAGACUUAUGGGACGAACACAAGGACACUUGAAACUAAGGAUAGAUGUGAACCUAACGGUAUGUCUGAAGCUUUGAUUACCACUUGAGGAGAACAAGUGUGGCCCGAUCUUCCGAAAGUUUUUGGUAACUAUCGAUUUGGUGGAAACGAGAGACAUGUCAAUCCAGCUUGUCAACAACACAAUUCAAAACCCUGCAAUUCUUUUUUUUGAUAUUUUUCUUUUACUUAGGAGCACUCAAGAAGUAACCACAGGGAAUUCGAGCUUAAACAAGUGAAAGACGUGGCCUGUGGAAUUUUUUGAAGAUUGUGAAAAAUAUGAAAAAAAAACUUUAGGAGGUGAAAGCUCAAACUUCAGAGGCGAAUUUGGGGAUUCUAAAAUUGUCGAACCCGCCAACGGCGGGCAUAGACUGAUCUAAAAAUUUUUUCUGAUGGAUUGUGAUAUAUGGAACGUCAAAAUUAGAGUUCGUAUGCGAAAGUUAUGGCUGUUUUACGAAUGGACUCCGAAUUAGAGGACAAAACAGUGAGGAAGUGGGAAAAUUUUGCGGUGGUGGCUAGAAAUUGAUGGAAACAGUGGGAAAAAACACACAAACUAGACUGUAACAAGACCUAACUAGUAACAAGACCUCGACCAUGGACUCUGAAACUGAAAUAUGCAAAGGCUACGGCGCGGAUGGGUUGUAGGACAUGAAAACAAUAUGGCACUAGACUUAUGGGACGAACACAAGGACACUUGAAACUAAGGAUAGAUGUGAACCUAACGGUAUGUCUGAAGCUUUGAUUACCACUUGAGGAGAACAAGUGUGACCCGAUCUUCCGAAAGUUUCACGUAGCUAUCGAUUUGGUGGAAACGAGAGACAUAUCAAUCCAGCUUGCGAACAACACAAUUCGAAACCCUGCAAUUUUUUUUAUUUUUUUUUGAUAUUUUUCUUUUACUUAGGAGCACUCAAGAAGUAACCACAGAAAAUUUGAGCUUAAACAAGUGAAAGACCUGGCCUGUGGAAUUUUUUGAAGAUUGUGAAAAAUAUGAAAAAAACCUUAGGAGGUGAAAACUCAAACUUCAGAGGCGAAUUUGGGGAUUCUAAAAUUAUCGAACUCGCCAAUGGCAAUAGACAGAUCCAAAAAUUUUUUCUGAUCGAUUCUGGUAUAUGGAACGUCAAAAUUAGAGUUCGUAUGCGAAGGUUAUGGCUGUUUUACGAACGGACUCCGAAUUAGAUAACAAAAGGGUCCGAAAGUGAGAAACAUUUGCGGUGGUGGCUAGAAAUUGAUGGAAACAGUGGGAAAAAAUACACAAACUGGACUGUAACAAAACCUAACCAGUAUCAAGACGUCGACCAGGACACAAACUCAACACUACGGACUCUGAAACUGAAAUAUGCAAAGGCUAUGGCGCGGAUGGGUUGUAGGACAUGAAAACAAUAUGGCACUAGACUUAUGGGAUGAACACAAGGACACUUGAAACUAAGGAUAGAUGUGAACCUAACGGUAUGUCUGAAGCUUUGAUUACCACUUGAAGAGAACAAGUGUGGCCCGAUCUUCCGAAAGUUUCUCGUAACUAUCGAUUUGGUGGAAACGAGAGACAUAUCAAUCCAGCUUGCGAACAACACAAUUCGAAACCCUGCAAUUCUUUUUAUUUUUAUUUUUUGAUAUUUUUCUUUUACUUAGGAGCACUCAAGAAGUAACCACAGGAAAUUUGAGCUUAAACAAGUGAAAGACGUGGCCUGUGGAAUUUUUUGAAGAUUGUGAAAAAUAUGAAAAAAAUUUAGGAGGUGAAAACUGAAACUUCAGAGGCGAAUUUGGGGAUUCUAAAAUUGUCGAACCUGCCAGAGGCGGAGAUAGACACAUCCAAAAAAUUGUUCUGAACGAUUUUGAUAUAUGGAACGUCAAAAUUAGAGUUCGUAUGCGAAAGUUAUGGCUGUUUUACGAACGGACUCCGAAUUAGAGGACAAAACGGUGAGGAAGUGAGAAAAAUUUGCGGUGGUGGCUAGAAAUUGAUGGAAACAGUGGGAAAAAACACACAAACUGGACUGUAACAAGACCUAACCAGUAACAAGACCUCCACCACGGACUCUAAAACUGAAAUAUGCAGAGGCUAUGGCGCGGAUGGGUUGUAGGAUAUGAAAACAAUAUGUCACUAGACUUAUGGGACGAACACAAGGACACUUGAAACUAAGGAUAGAUGUGAACCUAACGGUAUGUCUGAAGCUUUGAUUACCACUUGAGGAGAACAAGUGUGACCCGAUCUUCCGAAAGUUUCUCGUAACUAUCGAUUUGGUGGAAACGAGAGACAUAUCAAUCCAGCUUGCGAACAACACAAUUCGAAACCCUGCAAUUAUUUUUAUUUUUUUUGAUAUUUUUCUUUUACUUAGGAGGACUCAAGAAGUAACCACAGGAAAUUUGAGCUUAAACAAGUGAAAGACGUGGCCUGUGGAAUUUUUUGAAGAUUGUGAAAAAUAUGAAAAAAAAAUUUAGGACGUGAAAACUCAAACUUCAGAGGCGAAUUUGGGGAUUCUAAAAUUGUCGAACUCGCCAAAGGCGAGGAUAGAUAGAUCCAAAAAAAUUUUCUGAUCGAUUCUGGUAUAUGGAACGUCAAAAUUGGAGUUCGUAUGCGAAAGUUAUGGCUGUUUUACGAACGGAAUCCGAAUUAGAGGACAAAACGGUCCUGAAGUGAGAAAAAUUUGCGGUGUUGGCUAGAAAUUGAUGGAAACAGUGGGAAAAAACACACAAACUCGACUGCAACAAGACCUAACCAGUAUCAGGACGUCGACCAGGACACAAACUCAACACUACGGACUCUGAAACUGAAAUAUGCAAAGGCUAUGGCCCGGAUGGGUUGUAGGACAUGAAAACAAUAUGGCACUAGACUUAUGGGACGAACACAAGGACACUUGAAACUAAGGGUAGAUGUGAACCUAACGGUAUGUUUGAAGCUUUGAUUACCACUUGAGGAGAACAAGUGUGGCCCGAUCUUCCGAAAGUUUCUCAUAACUAUCGAUUUGGUGGAAACGAGAGACAUAUCAAUCCAGUUUGCGAACAAUACAAUUCGAACCAUGCAAUUCUUUUUUUUUUGAUAUUUUUCUUUUACUUAGGAGCACUCAAGAAGUAACCAUAGGAAAUUUGAGCUUAAACAAUUGAAAGACGUGGCCUGUGGAAUUUUUUGAAGAUUGUCAAAAAUAUGAAAAAAACUAGGAGGUGAAAACUCAAACUUCGGAGGCAAAUUUGGGGAUUCUAAAAUUGUCGAACCCGCCAAAGGCGGGGAUAGACAGAUCCAAAAAUUUUUUCUGAUCGAUUUUGAUAUAUGGAACGUCAAAAUUAGAGUUCGUAUACGAAAGUAAUGGCUGUUUUACGAACGAACUCCGAAUUAGAGGACAAAACGGUCCGGAAGUGGAAAAAAUUUGCGGUGGUGGCUAGAAAUUGAUGGAAAUAGUGGGAAAAAACACAUAAACUGGACUGUAACAAGAUCUAACCAGUAACAAGACCUCGACCAGGACACAAACUCAACACUACGGACUCUGAAACUGAAAUAUGCAAAGGCUAUGGCGCGGAUGGGUUGUAGGACAUGAAAACAAUAUGGCACUAGACUUAUGGGACGAACACAAGGACACUGGAUAGAUGUGAACCUAACGGUAUUUCUGAAGCUUUGAUUACCACUUGAGGAGAACAAGUGUGGCCCGAUCUUCCGAAAGUUUUUGGUAACUAUCGAUUUGGUGGAAACGAGAGACAUGUCAAUCCAGCUUGUCAACAACACAAUUCGAAACCCUGCAAUUCUUUUUUUUUGAUAUUUUUCUUUACUUAGGACCACUCAAGAAGUAACCACAGGGAAUUCGAGCUUAAACAAGUGAAAGACGUGGCCUGUGGAAUUUUUUGAAGAUUGUGAAAAAUAUGAAAAAAAAACUUUAGGAGGUGAAAGCUCAAACUUCAGAGGCGAAUUUGGGGAUUCUAAAAUUGUCGAACCCGCCAACGGCGGGCAUAGACUGAUCUAAAAAUUUUUUCUGAUGGAUUGUGAUAUAUGGAACGUCAAAAUUAGAGUUCGUAUGCGAAAGUUAUGGCUGUUUUACGAAUGGACUCCGAAUUAGAGGACAAAACAGUGAGGAAGUGGGAAAAUUUUGCGGUGGUGGCUAGAAAUUGAUGGAAACAGUGAGAAAAAACACACAAACUAGACUGUAACAAGACCUAACCAGUAACAAGACCUCGACCAUGGACUCUGAAACUGAAAUAUGCAAAGGCUAUGGCGCAGAUGGGUUGUAGGACAUGAAAACAAUAUGGCACUAGACUUAUGGGACGAACACAAGGACACUUGAAACUAAGGAUAGUUGUGAACCUAACGGUAUGUCUGAAGCUUUGAUUACCACUUGAGGAGAACAAGUGUGACCCGAUCUUCCGAAAGUUUCACGUAACUAUCGAUUUGGUGGAAACGAGAGACAUAUCAAUCCAGCUUGCGAACAACACAAUUCGAAACCCUGCAAUUUUUUUUAUUUUUUUUUUGAUAUUUUUCUUUUACUUAGGAGCACUCAAGAAGUAACCACAGGAAAUUUAAGCUUAAACAAGUGAAAGACCUGGCCUGUGGAAUUUUUUGAAAAUUGUGAAAAAUAUGAAAAAAAACAUUAGGAGGUGAAAACUCAAACUUCUGAGGCGAAUUUGGGGAUUCUAAAAUUAUCGAACUCGCCAAUGGCAAUAGACAGAUCCAAAUUUUUUUUCUGAUCGAUUCUGGUAUAUGGAACGUCAAAAUUAGAGUUCGUAUGCGAAGGUUAUGGCUGUUUUACGAACGGACUCCGAAUUAGAGAACAAAAGGGUCCGAAAGUGAGAAACAUUUGCGGUGGUGGCUAGAAAUUGAUGGAAACAGUGGGAAAAAAUACACAAACUGGACUGUAACAAGACCUAACCAGUAUCAAGACGUCGACCAGGACACAAACUCAAUACUACGGACUCUGAAACUGAAAUAUGCAAAGGCUAUGGCGCGGAUGGGUUGUAGGACACGAAAACAAUAUGGCACUAGACUUAUGGGAUGAACACAAGGACACUUGAAACUAAGGAUAGAUGUGAACCUAACGGUAUGUCUGAAGCUUUGAUUACCACUUGAAGAGAACAAGUGUGGCCCGAUCUUCCGAAAGUUUCUCGUAACUAUCGAUUUGGUGGAAACGAGAGACAUAUCAAUCCAGCUUGCGAACAACACAAUUCGAAACCCUGCAAUUCUUUUUAUUUUUAUUUUUUUGAUAUUUUUCAUUUAUUUAGGAGCACUUAAAAAGUAACCACAGGAAAUUUGAGCUUAAACAAGUGAAAGACGUGGCCUGUGGAUUUUUUUGAAGAUUGUGAAAAAUAUGAAAAAAAACUUUAGGAGGUAAAAACUCAAACUUCAGAGGUGAAUUUGGCGAUUCUAAAAUUGUCGAACCCGCCAAAGGCAGGAUAGACAGAUCCAAAAAUUUUUUCUGAUGGAUUUUGAUAUAUGGAACGUCAAAAUUAGACUUCGUAUGCGAAAGUUAUGGCUGUUUUACGAACGAACUCCGAAUUAGAGGACAAAACGGUCCGGAAGUGGGAAAAAAUUUGCGGUGGUGGCUAGAAAUUGAUGGAAAUAGUUAGAAAAAACACACAAAUUGGACUGUAACAAGACCUAACCAGUAACAAGACCUCGACCAGGACACAAACUUAACACUACGGACUCUGAAACUGAAAUAUGCAAAGGCUAUGGCGCGGAUGGGUUGUAGGAUAUGAAAACAAUAUGGCACUAGACUUAUGGGACGAACACAAGGAAACUUGAAACUUAGGGUAGAUGUGAACCUAACCGUAUGCCUGAAGCUUUGAUUACCACUUGAGGAGAACAAGUGUGGCUCGAUCUUCCGAAAGUUUCUCGUAACUAUCGAUUUGGUGGAAACGAGAGACAUAUCAAUCCAGCUUGCGAACAACACAAUUCGAAACCCUGCAAUUCUUUUUAUUUUUACUUUUUGAUAUUUUUCUUUUACUUAGGAGUACUCAAGAAGUAACCACAGGAAAUUUGAGCUUAAACAAGUGAAAGACGUGGCCUGUGGAAUUUUUUGAAGAUUGUGAAAAAUAUGAAAAAAAAAUUUAGGACGUGAAAACUCAAACUUCAGAGGCGAAUUUGGGGAUUCUAAAAUUGUCGAACUCGCCAUAGGCGAGGAUAGAUAGAUCCAAAAAAUUUUUCUGAUCGAUUCUGGUAUAUGGAACGUCAAAGUUGGAGUUGGUAUGCGAAAGUUAUGGCUGUUUUACGAACGGACUCCGAAUUAGAGGACAAAACGGUCCGGAAGUGAGAAAAAUUUGUGGUGGUGGCUAGAAAUUGAUGGAAACAGUGGGAAAAAACACACAAACUCGACUGCAACAAGACCUAACCAGUAUCAAGACGUCGAGCAGGACACAAACUCAACACUACGGACUCUGAAACUGAAAUAUGCAAUGGCUAUGGCCCAGAUGGGUUGUAGGACAUGAAAACAAUAUGGCACUAGACUUAUGGGACGAACACAAGGACACUUGAAACUAAGGGUAGAUGUGAACCUAACGGUACGUUUGAAGCUUUGAUUACCACAUGAGGAGAACAUGUGUGGCCCGAUCUUCCGAAAGUUUCUCGUAACUAUCGAUUUGGUGGAAACGAGAGACAUAUCAAUCCAGUUUGCGAACAACACAAUUCGAACCCUGCAAUUCUUUUUUUUGAUAUUUUUCUUUUACUUAGGAGCACUCAAGAAGUAACCACAGGAAAUUUGAGCUUAGACAAGUGAAAGACGUGGCCUGUGGAAUUUUUUGAAGAUUGUCAAAAAUAUGAAAAAAAACUUUAGGAGGUGAGAGGCGAAUUUUGGGAUUCUAAAAUUGUCGAACCUGCCAUAGGCAGAGAUAGACAGAUCCAAAUUUUUUUUCUCUGAACGAUUUUGAUAUAUGGAACGUCAAAAUUAGAGUUCGUAUGCGAAAGUUAUGGCUGUUUUACCAACGGACUCCGAAUUAGAGGACAAAACGGUCCGGAAGUGGGAAAAAUUUAGGGUAGUGGCUAGAAAUUGAUGGAAACAGUGGGAAAAAACACACAAACUGGACUCGUAACGAGAGACAUAUCAAUCCAGCUUGCGAACAACACAAUUCGAAACCCUGCAAUGCUUUUUAUUUUUAUUUUUUGAUAUUUUUCUUUUACUUAGGAGCACUCAAGAAGUAACCACAGGAAAUUUGAGCUUAAACAAGUGAAAGACGUGGCCUGUGGAAUUUUUUGAAGAUUGUGAAAAAUAUGAAAAAAAAUUUAGGAGGUGAAAAGUCAAACUUCAGAGUUGAAUUUGGGGAUUCUAAAAUUAUCGAACCCGCCAAAGGCGGGCAUAGACGGAUCCAAAAAUUUUUUCUGAUCGAUUUUGAUAUAUGGAACGUCAAAAUUAGAGUUCGUAUGCGAAAGUAAUGGCUGUUUUACGAACGAACUCCGAAUUAGAGGACAAAACGGUCCGUAAGUGGGAAAAAUUUGCGGUGGUGGCUAGAAAUUGAUGGAAAUAGUGGGAAAAACACAUAAACUGGACUGUAACAAGACCUCGACCAGGACACAAACUCAACACUACGGACUCUGAAACUGAAAUAUGCAAAGGCUAUGGCGCGGAUAGGUUGUAGGACAUGAAAACAAUAUGGCACUAGACUUAUGGGAUGAACACAAGGACACUUGAAACUAAGGAUAGAUGUGAACCUAUGUCUGAAGCUUUGAUUACCACUUGAGGAGAACAAGUGUGGCCCGAUCUUCCGAAAGUUUUUGGUAACUAUCGAUUUGGCGGAAACGAGAGACAUGUCAAUCCAGCUUGUCAACAACACAAUUCGAAACCCUGCAAUUCUUUUUUUUGAUAUUUUUCUUUUACUUAGGAGCACUCAAUAAGUAACCACAGAAAAUUUGAGCUUAAACAAGUGAAAGACGUGGCCUGUGGAAUUUUUUGAAGAUUGUGAAAAAUAUGAAAAAAAACUUUAGGAGGUGAGAACUCAAACUUCAGAGGCGAAUUUGGGGAUUCUAAAAUUGUCGAACCCGCCAACAGCGGGCAUAGACUGAUCUAAAAAAUUUUUCUGAUGGAUUGUGAUAUAUGGAACGUCAAAAUUAGAGUUCGUAUGCGAAAGUUAUGGCUGUUUUACGAACGGACUCCGAAUUAGAGGACAAAACAGUCAGGAAGUGGGAAAAAUUUGCGGUGGUGGCUAGAAAUUGAUGGAAACAGUGAGAAAAAACACACAAACUGGACUGUAACAAGACCUAACCAGUAACAAGACCUCGACCACGGACUCUGAAACUGAAAUAUGCAAAGGCUAUGGCGCGGAUGGGUUGUAGGACAUGAAAACAAUAUGGCACUGGACUUAUGGGACGAACACAAGGACACUUGAAACUAAGGAUAGAUGUGAACCUAACGGUAUGUCUGAAGCUUUGAUUAUCACUUGAGGAGAACAAGUGUGACCAGAUCUUCCAAAAGUUUCACGUAACUAUCGAUUUGGUGGAAACGAGAGACAUAUCAAUCCAGCUUGCGAACAACACAAUUCGAAACCCUACAAUUCUUUUUAUUUUUAUUUUUUGAUAUUUUUCUUUUAUUUAGGAGCACUUAAGAAGUAACCACAGGAAAUUUGAGCUUAAACAAGUGAAAGACCUGGCCUGUGGAAUUUUUUGAAGAUUGUGAAAAAUAUGAAAAAAAAACCUUAGGAGGUGAAAACUCAAACUUCAGAGGCGAAUUUGGGGAUUCUAAAAUUGUCGAACUCGCCAAUGGCAAUAGACAGAUCCAAAUUUUUUUUCUGAUCGAUUCUGGUAUAUGGAACGUUAAAAUUGGAGUUCGUAUGCGAAGGUUAUGGCUGUUUUACGAACGGACUCCGAAUUAGAGAACAAAACGGUCUGAAAGUGAGAAAAAUUUGCGGUGGUGGCAAGAAAUUGAUGAAAACAGUGGAAAAAAAUAUACAAACUGGACUGUAACAAGACCUAACCAGUAUCAAGACGUCGACCAGGACACAAACUCAACACUACGGACUCUGAAACUGAAAUAUGCAAAGGCUAUGGCGCGGAUGGGUUGUAGGACAUGAAAACAAUAUGGCACUAGACUUAUGAGACGAACACAAGGACACUUGAAACUAAAGAUAGAUGUGAACCUAACGGUAUGUCUGAAGCUUUGAUUACCACUUGAAGAGAACAAGUGUGGCCCGAUCUUCCGAAAGUUUCUCGUAACUAUCGAUUUGGUGGAAACGAGAGACAUAUAAAUCCAGCUUGCGAACAACACAAUUCGAAACCCUGCAAUUCUUUUUAUUUUUAUUUUUUGAUAUUUUUCUUUUAUUUAGAAGCACUUAAGAAGUAACCAUAGGAAAUUUGAGCUUAAACAAGUGAGAGACGUGGCCUGUGGAAUUUUUUGAAGAUUGUGAAAAAUAUGAAAAAAAAACUUUAGGAGGUAAAAACUCAAACUUCAGAGGUGAAUUUGGGGAUUCUAAAAUUGUCGAACCCGCCAAAGGCAAGAUAGACAGAUCCAAAAUUUUUUUCUGAUCGAUUCUGGUAUAUGGAACGUCAAAAUUGGAGUUCGUAUGCGAAGGUUAUGGCUGUUUUACGAACGGACUCCGAAUUAGAGAACAAAACGGUCCGAAAGUGAGAAAAAUUUGCGGU